rnacentral:lncRNA from 1 species
UUUUUUUUUUUUUUUUUUUUUUUACAUUUUAUUGAAAUACAGUUGAAUUAUAAUGUUGUGUUAAUUUUUGCUGUACAGAAAAAUAACAGUUAUACGUGUAUCUAUUUUAUUUUUCAUAUCCUUCCAUUAUGUUUUCUUUUUUUUAAUAAUUUUUAUUUUUUUCCAUUAUAGCUGGUUUACAGUGUCCUGUCAACUUUCUACUGGAUGGCAAAGUGACCCAGUCACACAUACACAUAUACAUUCUUUUUCUCACAUUAUCAUGCUCCAUCAUAAGUGACUAGAUAUAGUUCCCAGUGCUGUUCAGCAGGAUCUUAUUGCUUAUCCAUUCCAAAGGCAAUAGUUUACAUCUUAUUAACCCCAAAUUCCUAGUCCAUCCCACUCCCUCCCCUUCCUUCUUGGCAACCACAAGUGUGUUUUCUAUGUCCAUGAGUUUCUUUUCUGUGGAAAGGUUCAUCUGUGCCAUAUAUUAGAAGCCAAAUAUAGUUGCUAUCAUAUGGUAUUUGUCUUUCUCUUUCUGACUAACUUCAUUUAGUAUGUGAGUCUGUAAUUCCAUCCAUGUUGGAGCAAAUGGCAUUAUUUUCUUUUGUGUGUAUCUUUUUGCCUUUUCUAGGGCAGCUCCUGUGGCAUAUGGAGGUUCUCAGGCUAGGAGUCUAAUCAGAGUUGUAGCCACUGGCCUACAACAGAGCCACAGCAACACCUGAUCCGAGCCAUGUCUGCAACCCACACCACAGCUCACAGCAACACCGGAUCCUUAACCCACUGAGCAAGGCUAGGGAUCAAACCCUCAACCUCAUGGUUCCUAGUUGCAUUUGUUAACCACUGAGCCAUGAUGGGAACUCCAGCAUUAUUUUCUUCUUUUUUAUGGCUGAGUAGUAUUCCAUUGUGUAUAUAUACCACAUCUUCUUAAUCCAUUCAUCUGUUGAUGGACAUUUGUUUCCAUGUCUUGGCUGUUGUGAAUAGCACUGCAAUGAACACAUGGGUGCAUGUGUCUUUUCCAAGGAAAGUUUUAUUUGGAUAUAUGCCCAGGGGGUCAUAUUGUGGUUUCUAUAUUUAGUUUUCUAAGGUACCUCCAUGCUGUUUCCCAUGGUGGUUGUACCAAUUUACAUUCCCACCAACAGUGCAGGAGGGUUUCCUUUUCUCCACACCCUCUCCAGCAUUUGUUAUUUAUGGACUUAUUAAUGAUGGCCAUUCUGACUGGUGUGAGGUGGUACCUCAUAGUAGUUUAUUUAUUUAUUUUUAUUACUUAGAUGAAUUUAUCACAUCUGUGGUUGUAUAAUGAUCAUAACAAUCCAAUUUCACAGGAUUUCCAUCCCACAACCCAAGCACAACCCUCACCCCCCAAACUGUCUCCUCCGGAGACCACAAGUUUUUCAAUGUCUAUGAGUCAGCAUCUGUUCUACAAAGAAGUUCCGUCUGUCCUUUUUUCAGAUUCCACAUGUCAGUGAAAGCAUUUGAUGUUGGUGUCUCAUUGUAUGGCUGACUUCACUUAGCAUGAUAAUUUGGUUUUGAUUUGCAUUUCUCUAAUGAUGAGUGAUGUUGAACAUCUUUUCAGGUGUUUCUCGGCCAUCUGUAUGUCUUCUUUGGAGAACUGUCUGUUUAGAUCUUCUGCCCAUUUUUUGAUGGGGUUGUUUGUUUUUUGGGUAUGCAGCUGCAGAAGUUGUUUAUAAAUUUUGGAGAUUAAUCCCUUGUCAUUUGAUUCACUUGCAAAGAUUUUCUACCAUUCUGUGGGUUGUCUUUUGUUUUGUUUAGGGUUUCCUUUGCUGUGCAGAAACUUUUAAGUUUGAUUAAGUCCCAUUUGUUUAUUUUUGUUUUUAUUGUCAAUACUCUAAGAGGUGGAUCUGAGAAGAUGUUGCUGUUGUUUAUAUCAGAGAGUGUUUGGCCUAUGUUUUCCUCUAGGAGUUUUAUAGUGUCUGGUCUUAUAUCUAGGUCUUUAAUCUAUUUUGAAUUUAUUUUUGUGUAUGGUGUUAGGGAGUGUUCUAAUUUCAUUCUUUUCCAUGUGGCUGUCCAGUUUUCCCAGCACCACUUAUUGAACAAGCUGUCCUUUCUCCAUUGCAUAUUCUUGCCUCAUUUGUCAUAGAUUAGUUGGCUGUAUGUGUGUGGGUUGAAUUCUGGGCUUUCUAUCCCGUUCCACUGAUCUAUGUCUGUCUUUGUGCCAGUACCAUACGGUUUUGAUGAUUGUUGCUUUGUAGUAUAGUCUGAUGUCAGGGAGCCUGAUUCCUCCAGCUCCGUUUUUCUUUUUCAGGGUGUCUUUGGCUAUUCUGGAUCUUUUGUGCUUCCAAACAAACUUGAAAAUAUUUCGUUCAACUUCUGUGAAUAAUGUCCUUAGUAAUUUGAUAGGGAUUGAAUUGAAUCUGUAGACUGCCUUAGGUAGUAUAGUCAUUUUGAUAAUAUUAACUCUUCCAAUCCAUGAGCAUGGUAUAGCUUUCCAUCUAUUUGUGUCAUCUUUGAUUUCUUUCAUUGGAGUCUUAUAGUUUUCAGAGUACAGUUCUUUUGUCUCUUUAGGUAGGUUUACUCCCAGGUAUUUUAUUCUUUUGGAUGUGAUUGUAAAUGGGAUUUCUUCUCUAAUUUCUCUUUCUGCUCUUUCAUUGUUAACCUCAUAGUAGUUUUUGUUUGUUUGUUUUUUGAUUUUGUUUGUUUGUUUUUUGGUCUUUUUGCCAUUUCUUGGGCCAAUCCCAUGGCAUAUGGAGAUUCCCAGGCUAGAGGUCAAAUCGGAGUUGUAGCCACCAGCCUACAACAGAGCCACAGCAACGCGGGAUCCGAGCCACGUUUGCAACCUACACCACAGCUCACAGCAAUGCCAGAUCCUUAACCCACUGAGCAAGGCCAGGGAUCAAACCUGCAACCUCAUGGUUCCUAGUUGGAUUCGUUAACCACUGAGCCACCAUGGGAACUCCAACCUCAUAGUAGUUUUGAUUUGCAUUUCUCUAAUAAUCAGUGAUGGUGAGCAUUUUUUUCAUGUGCUUGUUGGCCAUCUGUAUAUCUUCUUUGGAGAAAUGUCUAUUCAGGUCUUUUGCCCAUGUUUCAAUUGAGUUGUUGGCUUUUUUGUUGUGGAGUUGUAUAAACUGUUUAUAUAUUUUAGAUAUUAAACCCUUGUCUCCAUUAUGUUUUAUUACAGACUACUGACUAUAGUUCCCUGUGCUAUAGAGUAUAACAUUGCUAUAGUGUAUGUCUAUCAGACGUGGGCAGCUUGGGGGAUUACUGCCUCAGUCCUGGAAGGAACAGGUUUUUCAGGCAGCAUCAAUUCAAUAUGGUUCUGAGCUUUAAUUUCUGCUCUUACAUGUCUUGGCACCACUAUAUGUAAUUUUUUAUAUCAGCAUAAAAUAUAUAUUUUUUUCUCUUUAGGGUCACAUCUGUAGCACAUGGAAGUUCCCAGGCUAGGGGCUGAACAGGAGCUGCAGCUGCCAUCCUACACCACAGCUCACAGCAACACCAGAUCCUUAACCCAAUAAACAAGGCCAGAGAUUGAACCUGCCUCCUCAUGGAAACUAGUUGGGUUCAUUUCUACCAAGCCACAGUGGGAACUCUUGAAAAAAUUCUUAAAUCUCAAAUGUGAUUUUAUAAAAAUUAGUAUUUGAAAAUUCCUCAGAAUACUACUUUACUCUUUUUCUAGGGCCGCUGCAACAAAUUACCACAAAGUUGGUAUUUUUUUCCCCUCUCUUUUUUUGUGGCCACACCCACAGCACAUGGAAGUUCCUGGGCCAGGUAUAAAAUGUGUUCCAUGGUUUAGGCUUGCUGCAUCAUAGCUUCAGUGCUGAUCCUUAACCCGCUGUGCCACAUGGGAACUUUCAUAAAAUAAUAGAAAUUUUCUCUCAUGGUUUUGGAGGCCAGAAAUACAAAAUGAAGGUGUCAGCAGGGCCAGGAUCCCUUUCAGUCUCUGUCUUUACAUCAUCUUCUCCAUGUAUCCUUGUAUGUCCUUUUCUGCCUCAUAAGGACAUUCUCAUUGUAAUUAGGGUCUGCCCUAACCAAGUAUAGCCCAUCUCAAUCUUUACCUUAUUUACAUCUGCAAAGACCUUAUUUCCUAAUAAGGUCACAUUCUGCGGUUCUGGAAGACUUGAAUUUAGGGGGAACACUACUCAACCUACACUUCCCAAGGCUUUAUUAGAAACUGUUUAGAUUAUAAGACCCAUGUAACAAAAAUUUAACAGAUCUUGUUGUAUUUACCUGCUUUGAGGACAAAAAUGCUGGAUUACUUCCUAUUCUUCUUAGAUUUCCCUGCACCAGUAGAAUAGUUGUCGUGGAAACAGGAGAUUUCCUGUUUGAGUGUGGAGGAGUUCCCAUCAUUGUUCAGUGGAAAUGAAUCUGACUAGCAUCCAUGAGGAUGCAGGUUUGAUCCCUGGCUUUGCUCAGUGGGUUAAGGAUCCAGCAUUGCCAUGUGGUGUAGGUCACAGAUGCAGCUUAGAUCUGGCAUUGCUGUGGCUGUGGUGUAGGCCAGUGGCUGCUGCUCCAAUCCUACCCCAGCCUGGGAACCUCCAUAGGCCUCGGGUGAGGCCCUCGAAAAACAAAACAAUACAAAAAAAAACCCUAAGACAUCUAGAAUGUAAUUUGAACUCCUCACUGUAUAAAAAUUUAAAAAAUCCUUGAUGUCCAGAGAGGGGAAAAGACUUGUUUAAACAGUAGUAUAUUGUAUUUUUUUUUUAGGGCUGCACCUGCAGCAUAUGGAAGUUCCAAGGCUAGGGGUCCAAUCAGAGCUGCAGCUGCCAGUCUACACGACAGUCACAGCAACACUGGAUCCCAGCUGCAUCUUCAACCUACACUACAGUUCACAGCAAUGCUGGAUCUUUAACCCAUUCAGCGAGGCCAGGGGUGGAAUCCCCAUUCUCAUGGAUCUUAGUCGGGUUCUUAAUCCACUGAGCCGCAAUGGGAACUCCAACAGUAGUAUCUUUAAUCAGUAACAUAACAUUCCCCUCCCUUACAAAAAGAUGUAAUGGUGGAAACUUAAAUAUGGUGAUUGGGGCAAUCAUUUUUCGUUUUUAGCAGAAGGGCCUAGGGAAGCAGAGAGAGUGGUUUUGGUGGUGGUAGGGAAGGAGUUUCUCAGGUAAGCCACACAUUACAGGGCCCAAACCACCAUACUUCAGGACGUGGUACCCAGCAGUGCUCUCUGCAUCGACAAACGGCCUUGACUCUGGAGGACAAAGAAGCCACAUUAUUAUUUCCAGUCCUCUGUUCAGGCUGCCAAGAAAAAAGUAGCUAUGACUGAGGGAAGUCUAUUUUCUUUGAGACAGGAGUUGAUCAUUUGUUUUCUUCCUGUUCAUAGCACUAGGCAUGUUAAUUAUAGCUCUGAAUACUGCUUAACAAGAAACACAGUAAACAUGUGACUCUGAGCUCAGUUAAUGAGUAUUAUUAUCCUUUAAAAAUUCUGACUUUGGCAAUUACUCACUAAUCAAGAGGAGUGUUAGGAUGUGAGGCUCAACCCAGGGGAAAUUUAAGAGAACAGCGCAUACCUGUCUUGGAGAGCUGAAUCAGAAGCGUUUGAACUCAUCUUGAGUUCAGUUCUCACCUCUCUCUCUAGGGGCAGUUUAUAGACACAAAUUUCUCACUUCUAUCCUGAAGUGAGGGCAGAAGAACCAAGCUAACAAACCUGCACUUUCUCUUGUCUUCCUCAGUAGUCCCAGAAUUAGAAGCCCAUGUUUCUACUGUCCCAAAACUUCCAGACAUCUCAGCAUAAUAGCAUGAAAUGAGAUGUGGCUAAAGACAAGAAACAUUGAGUAAUUCUUCUUCUUCCACCCUACAAAGCUGUCUCCCAGCUCCAGCCAACUAGAAAGGAAGAAAAAGAAAAAAAAUACUUGGGUAAUAGUUUCUUACCAGACUGACCCCAAGGCUAAGCCAAGAGUUCUGACACCCUGACUUUUUCUGGGUACCUCUCUAGGAAAUGUCUGUGUGGCCUCUGGAUAGAUGAGCCCUGGACUGGCAAGCUUCAGCUUUAUUAGGAACAUUAUUAAAUUUAAUAUAAGGUAAUGGGAGUUCCCCUUGUGGCACAGCAGAAACGAAUCUGACUAGUAUCCAUGAGGGUUUAGCUUCUUCGCUCAGUGGGUUGAGGAUAUGGCGUUGCUGUGAGCUGUGCAGUGAGUCCCAGAUGCAGCUCGGAUCCCAAGUUGCUGUGGCUGUGGUGUAGGCCGGCAGCUGCAGCUCUGAUUGAACCCCCUAGCCUGGGAACGUCCAUAUGCUUCAGGUGUGGCCCU